rnacentral:rRNA from 1 species
CAGUCGAGGGGCAGCAUGGUCUUAGCUUGCUAAGGCCGAUGGCGACCGGCGCACGGGUGAGUAACACGUAUCCAACCUGCCGUCUACUCUUGGACAGCCUUCUGAAAGGAAGAUUAAUACAAGAUGGCAUCAUGAGUCCGCAUGUUCACAUGAUUAAAGGUAUUCCGGUAGACGAUGGGGAUGCGUUCCAUUAGAUAGUAGGCGGGGUAACGGCCCACCUAGUCUUCGAUGGAUAGGGGUUCUGAGAGGAAGGUCCCCCACAUUGGAACUGAGACACGGUCCAAACUCCUACGGGAGGCAGCAGUGAGGAAUAUUGGUCAAUGGGCGAGAGCCUGAACCAGCCAAGUAGCGUGAAGGAUGACUGCCCUAUGGGUUGUAAACUUCUUUUAUAAAGGAAUAAAGUCGGGUAUGGAUACCCGUUUGCAUGUACUUUAUGAAUAAGGAUCGGCUAACUCCGUGCCAGCAGCCGCGGUAAUACGGAGGAUCCGAGCGUUAUCCGGAUUUAUUGGGUUUAAAGGGAGCGUAGAUGGAUGUUUAAGUCAGUUGUGAAAGUUUGCGGCUCAACCGUAAAAUUGCAGUUGAUACUGGAUAUCUUGAGUGCAGUUGAGGCAGGCGGAAUUCGUGGCGUAGCGGUGAAAUGCUUAGAUAUCACGAAGAACUCCGAUUGCGAAGGCAGCCUGCUAAGCUGCAACUGACAUUGAGGCUCGAAAGUGUGGGUAUCAAACAGGAUUAGAUACCCUGGUAGUCCACACGGUAAACGAUGAAUACUCGCUGUUUGCGAUAUACUGCAAGCGGC